rnacentral:rRNA from 1 species
AUUGAACGCUGGCGGCAGGCCUAACACAUGCAAGUCGAGCGGAGCGGCGGACGGGUGAGUAAUGCCUAGGAAUCUGCCUGGUAGUGGGGGAUAACGUCCGCUAACGGGCGCUAAUACCGCAUACUAUCAGAUGAGCCUCGGUCGGAUUAGCUAGAUGGUGGUGUAAAGGCAGACAAAGGCGACGAUCCGUACCUGGUCUGAGAGGAUGAUCAGUAACACGGGAACUGAGACACGGUCCAGACUCCUACGGGAGGCAGCAGUGGGGAAUAUUGGACAAUGGGGGAAAGCCUGAUCCAGCCAUGCCGCGUGUGUGAAGAAGGUCUUCGGAUUGUAAAGCACUUUUAGUUGGGAGGCGUUACCAACAGAAUAAGCACCGGCUAACUUCGUGCCAGCAGCCGCGGUAAUAC